rnacentral:lncRNA from 1 species
CAAGGCCUCUACUGUGUGCCAGGAAGAAGGGAAACGAGGAUCUACAUAACUAGUUAAUAACUGAGAUUCUGGAACAAGACUGCCUGGAUUUGAAGCUUGGCUCUAGCUACAUGUGACUUCAGGUUCCCAUCGUUCUGGAGGACACAAAGAAGGAUGCAUCUCAUUCAGGUAGCAAAAUAAAGAAAGAAAAAUAAAGAAGUAAAAUAAAAGCAAGCCCAAACCAAGAAGAAACCCAUUGCGCCAGUCAAGAAGAGGAUUCAAUUUGAGAGAUUACUGUAAAAUUACCACCAAACAAAAAAACUGAAGAGAAUUUUGAUAAUUGUUGAGCUGG